GUGUAGCUCAGUGGUACAGCACUUGCCUAGCAAGUAUGAGGCACUGGGUUCGAUUCUUAGCAC
rnacentral:tRNA from 1 species